GCCUCGGUGGCGUAAUGGUGGCACGCGCCCUCGGUAUAGAUGAAGAACGGGUUCAACUCCUGUCUGAGGUA